rnacentral:rRNA from 1 species
GACGAACGCUGGCGGCGUGCUUAACACAUGCAAGUCGAACGGUGAAGCGCCUUCCUUUUUGGUGGGUGUGGAUGAGUGGCGAACGGGUGAGUAACACGUGAGUAACCUGCCCCCUUCUUCUGGAUAACCGCAUGAAAGUGUGGCUAAUACGGGAUAUUCUGGGUCUGUCGCAUGAUGGGUCUGGGAAAGAUAUUGUUUCGGUGGGGGAUGGGCUCGCGGCCUAUCAGCUUGUUGGUGGGGUGAUGGCCUACCAAGGCGGUGACGGGUAGCCGGCCUGAGAGGGCGGACGGUCACACUGGGACUGAGACACGGCCCAGACUCCUACGGGAGGCAGCAGUGGGGAAUACUGCACAAUGGGCGCAAGCCUGAUGCAGCGACGCCGCGUGAGGGAUGGAGGCCUUCGGGUUGUGAACCUCUUUCGCCAGUGAAGCAGGCCUGCCUCGUUUGUGGGUGGGUUGACGGUAGCUGGAUAAGAAGCGCCGGCUAACUACGUG